GAUAGAGUAAACAUCCUGUCCAGAACAGAGACCCCCUUAUCUGUGAGACCAUGUGGUCCAUGCCUCAUUUUGCAGACUGGUAGAAGGCAGGGCAGCAUCAUUUAGUUUUGCUCUGCAGAUUCCCUUGAAAAUCUAUGGCUUUUCUACCCUGAAAGUUUGGUCUGCUGCUGGAUUCGGUUGUUUAAGCUGUUGUUUUCGAUUUAUGACCUUCUUUUGAUGCUGUAUUGGUUUUAAUUUUAGUUGGUUUUAAAUCUUAGGUUUUUAUUGUUGGUUUUAAUUUUAAAUCUUCGUUCUAGGUUUUAGUUGUUGGUUUCUUUAUUUUUUUAUCUGGUUUAUGGUUUUUGGUUGGUUUAUGACUUGAAGUGAUUGAGUUGUUUUUUUGUCUAUUGGUUCGUGUCAUUUUAGAUUUUUUUAGUCUAUUUUUGCUUCAUUUACUUAGUUUCAGUUGUGAUCAUUAUACUGAGUUUUUGGUUUAUAGCAGUUUUUUUAUCUUUAGGGAAAGUCAAAGGUCAUUUACAUUCGUUUGGUUAGGAGAACAUCAAGGUUGGUCAAGUGUCAGGUACAAAAUCGGUUGUUCUUCGAGUCUCAUAAUUUUAUUUUUGUUUAGUUUAUUUUUAAUUGUCGUUCAGGAGAAAUAAAUGCGUUCCAGUGAUAGCUCUUGAA